AGUGAACGCUGGCGGUAGGCCUAACACAUGCAAGUCGAACGGCAGCACAGUAAGAGCUUGCUCUUACGGGUGGCGAGUGGCGGACGGGUGAGGAAUACAUCGGAAUCUACUUUUUCGUGGGGGAUAACGUAGGGAAACUUACGCUAAUACCGCAUACGACCUACGGGUGAAAGCAGGGGAUCUUCGGACCUUGCGCGAUUGAAUGAGCCGAUGUCGGAUUAGCUAGUUGGCGGGGUAAAGGCCCACCAAGGCGACGAUCCGUAGCUGGUCUGAGAGGAUGACCAGCCACACUGGAACUGAGACACGGUCCAGACUCCUACGGGAGGCAGCAGUGGGGAAUAUUGGACAAUGGGCGCAAGCCUGAUCCAGCCAUACCGCGUGGGUGAAGAAGGCCUUCGGGUUGUAAAGCCCUUUUGUUGGGAAAGAAAAGCAGCAGGUUAAUACCCCGCUGUCCUGACGGUACCCAAAGAAUAAGCACCGGCUAACUUCGUG
rnacentral:rRNA from 1 species